ACCGCUGCUCUCUUUGUUAUCAGUAAGUCCCUCUUUCAUAGCGGAAUUUGGGUUUGUGAUGUACUAUGAUUUGUGAUAUAUAAUCUCUUUCUUUGGGUGAAGUUCAAAUUCUUUAUUUUUAUCUUCUUGUCGAUUAAUAACUGAUCGAUUAAGCUGCCCAUAAACACUAAUUGAGGUUUUGAAAAGAAUUGAUUUUUCUCUUCUUUCUUCGUCAAUUUGGAUUAUUGCAAUUGUAAUGGUGCAGGUCUCAUCUUUCCCUUGUAGUUCUUCCCAGAUUGUAACGUACUCGGUAGUUUAUUUGGUUUAUUUGCGUAUCUCUUCUUCUUCUUUACUGUUAUAUAAAAUUUCCCUUGUAGUUCUUCCCAUAUUAUACCAUAACCUGUAGUAACACGUAUCAAAAAUGGUUUCUUCCUUCCUUUAAAACAUCCAGUGUUUCGUCCUUGGCUUGUGUGGGACUGCAAGAAUAACGUUUGUUAGAAUGGUUAAAAGAGAUUUUGCUUCCUGGACUUCAAUGAUUUGUGGGUACUAUAUUAUAGAAUAGUUAAAACUAUUUUCUAUUUCCAAUAAGUGAACAUGUUUUCUACUUUUCCAAAAUGGAUUUUUUUUUUUCUAUUUUCACUAAGUAAAUACGUUGUCAUUAGAAAAUAAAUACUCUAAUUUUAUGGAAAACAGAAAAUAGUUUUCCACAUGUAAACAAAUUUAGUUUUCAACAUCUUAAUUUUGUUUAGGUUGAUUUUAGAAUCAGUAUGGGA
rnacentral:misc_RNA from 1 species